CCUUUAAGUUAGAGUUACUCGAGUAGAGUAGCACAGGUAUGUACAGAUCUGACUACAAUGCCGUGUGGUCCGUCUCGUUUAUUUGAAGAGCAUGUUCAACAAAAAUAAAGCAAAAAGUGCUCAUGGAAAUUUGUGGCUGGCAAGAAAUACUGUUCAAAGGAACAGAAGCCACACUGCUCUUUUCUUCGUCACGUAAAAAAAUGUCUUGAUACCACCCUGGUGGCAUGAAAAAUUUUCUUAAACAAAGCAAUGAAUCAGGUUUAAAUAGGGAAAACAGUGGCUGUGAGAUACAACCACCUCAAUUUUUUUAGAGACAACAAAGGAAACUUAAGCAAGGAAUACAGUGACAACAAAGACAAAAUGUAGACAUGCUGCAACUGCAGAAAGAAAUGAGAGGUGCCAUCUAAUGCACCAAUGGCAUAUGUUAAGAAACAGGCACUAAACAGCAGACAUCUUUUCCUCAACUUUAGAAAAACAGGAUCUGCACAUUAUUCAAAGCUAUGUUGGGUAUCUUCUAGGUUAAAAAAGAAGAGAAACUGACUAGACCCCAGAACACUUUCUAUGAGGAAAAAGGAACAGCAUAUUAGAACUUCAUUUUCUGAAGGUAACAAAAAUAUGUUUUAACAAAAAUUAUUCACGACUAAAACAUGAGCUAGCACCUUGCAGCAGACUAAUAGGGAAAGAAAGAAAUGGAAGAAGCAAAGCCAGACACACGGCACCAUGAAUGCAUGGCUGAAACAAGGCUAUGUGUGGCAUUGCACUUAACAUCUUUUUUUUUUUUUUACGGCAGUUGUGGCUUUACUGUUCUUAAACAAUAGAAACACUUGUUUAAAAAUCUGACUUGGUAGACAUAGUAAUACAAGAACGCCUACAUAAGGAGUGAGCAACUUGCCCACAGGAAGCAAACGAACCUUAAGUCAGUGGAUAUCAAAAAAUGCAUGAACAUAGGAUGAAGGACAACAAGAGGUCACAGUUAGUAGUGAGAGCACAAAAUGAACAAUACAAAUGUCACAAGGCUUGCAAUAGGUGUUGAAACACUUUUAACUGCAAGAAUAGCAAAGAGAGUGGCCUUUAGUAUGAUGUGGCCUUUAGUUUAGAGUGGCCUAUGCAAAAAGAGUGGCCUUUAGUAUGAUGAUGAACUUUCAGGAACACCCUGUGUAUUGCACUUAUGGCAUGAGUGACUAGAGUAAGGCUGCAACAAUGUUUAAAAAUGAGCAAUGCUAGAAUGUGACCAUGUUGCGGUGUGGCAGUGCUGCACAGGUCUGACUAGUUUUGAUGAAUAGACCAUGUCACAGUAUGACCAAUGUGCAGCCUAUUGUUUAAAUUAUCACAGUAGCAUCACAAGUAAUAACUCCUACUAACAGUAACACUGCUCAUGUUGAGUCUUUCAGACAAGGCAGCUAAUAAUAUAAGAGAACUAUAGCGAACAGUUCUAAAGCACAAACAUGGCGAUUCAUCCUAGUUAACACUAAUUUGCUGUUUCCUUUUGGCAGUAGAGCAACAAUCCACUCCAUGUAAACUGCAUUCAUGUGUUCAGAGAAAGGUAAUCAGCACCUAAAGAAAAAUACCACAGCUGCAGCAAUUGCAGACACAUACAAUGAUACUGAAUGAAGGCAAAGUAUUGGUGAGGCGAUGAACAUUCAAGGCACACAAAAAUGGCUGCAAUCACCUCAGAGUGGCAGUGCCCUUUAUCACAGGUAAAGAAAAAUCACACGAGUUAUGCUGCUGCAAAACAGAAUUUUUCAGAAGACUAGGGUGAGAGUAACCCGGAAACUUGUGCAUGCGUACCACAUGUAGAACACUCCCGACCUACCAAACAUUAUCACAG